rnacentral:rRNA from 1 species
ACCGGCGAACGGGUGAGUAACACGUAGGCAACUUACCUUGUGAACGGGAAUAACCCCGGGAAACCGGGACUAAUACCCGAUGUAGUCCCAAUACGACAUCGUGUCGGGAUGAAAGGUCCGUAAGGACGUCACAGAUGGGCCUGCGUCCCAUUAGAUAGUUGGCGGGGUAAUGGCCCACCAAGUCGACGAUGGGUAGCUGGUCUGAGAGGACGAUCAGCCACACUGGAACUGAGACACGGUCCAGACUUCUACGGAAGGCAGCAGUGAGGAAUAUUGCUCAAUGGGCGAAAGCCUGAAGCAGCGACGCCGCGUGAAGGAUGAAAUCCGUUAGGAUGUAAACUUCUUUUGCAGGAGAUGAAUGUCCCGACUUGUCGGGAUUGACCGUACCCUGCGAAUAAGGAUCGGCCAACUACGUGCCAGCAGCCGCGGUAAUACGUAGGAUCCAAGCGUUGUCCGGAAUUACUGGGUGUAAAGGGUCCGCAGGCGGGCGAGCAAGUCGGUGGUGAAAGUUCACGGCUCAACCGUGAAAUUGCCUUCGAUACUGCUUGUCUUGAGUUCGAGAGAGGAUAAUGGAAUUCAUGGUGUAGCGGUGAAAUGCGUAGAGAUCAUGAAGAACACCAGUAGCGAAGGCGGUUAUCUGGCUCGAUACUGACGCUCAGGGACGAAAGCGUGGGUAGCAAACAGGAUUAGAUACCCUGGUAGUCCACGCCUUAAACGAUGGAUGUUCGGUGUCAGUCCGCAAGGAUUGGUGCCUGAGCCAACGCGUUAAACAUCCCACCUGGGGAGUACGAUCGCAAGGUUGAAACUCAAAGGAAUUGACGGGGGCCCGCACAAGCAGUGGAGAAUGUGGUUCAAUUCGAUGCAACGCGAAGAACCUUACCUGGGUUUGAAAGGCAAGUGACAGGCGAUGAAAGUCGCCCUCCCCGCAAGGGGCACUUGUACAGGUGCUGCAUGGCUGUCGUCAGCUCGUGCCGUGAGGUGUUAGGUUAAGUCCCGCAACGAGCGCAACCCCUGCACUUAGUUGCCAUCAGGUCAAGCUGGGCACU